rnacentral:tRNA from 1 species
GGAGCGGUAGUUCAGACGGUUAGAAUACCGGCCUGUCACGCCGGGGGUCGCGGGUUCGAGUCCCGUCCGCUCCGCCA